rnacentral:rRNA from 1 species
UACGUAGGGGGCAAGCGUUGUUCGGAAUUACUGGGCGUAAAGGGCGCGUAGGCGGCAUGGCAAGUCAGGAGUGAAAGGCCUGGGCUCAACCGAGGAACUGCUUUUGAUACUGCCAAGCUAGAGUGCGGAAGGGCAACUGGAAUUCCCAGUGUAGCGGUGAAAUGCGUAGAUAUUGGGAAGAACACCUGAGGCGAAGGCGGGUUGCUGGGCCGACACUGACGCUGAGGCGCGAAAGCCAGGGGAGCAAACGGG